CGGCUCGGAGCGCUUCCCCAGCCACCCCGGGGAGUAAGAUGCGCUUGCGGCGGGCGGGCUUGCCUGCGGGGAGCGACGGAGCCGAGCGCCGGCAGCUCCAGCCAACCUGGAAAAGCGCACCGACUGAAGACGUUUCUGCCCCACCUUUCUUCCUGCGAGGAAGCCGAGGAGGCGCGCGCAGCCCUCCUCUCUCCCUUAUGUCCUCACAACAACCCUGUGAGAGCAUCCAGCGUGACUUUCCCACGGUACAUCCAAGACCCGUGGCACGGAGGGACAUCUAAUGGCGGAGAAGCGGUGCUCGGAAACCGCGGGUGCUGUGAGUUUUGGCAAGAUCCCUCGCUUGGAGGCAGAGCCGGGCCACGUCCUCACCCAGUCGAACAUGGUGGCUCAGGCCUCGGAAAACCACUGUGGCUAUAAGGGAUCCUACUUCGCCUACCCGCUGCAGUGCCAUGAAGAGCCGAAAGCAUUGGCUCACUGGUCUCCGGCAGAGGCCUGCACACCUUAUGCAGACGGGUCCACGGGGCAGCAGAGGCGGAUGCAGAAAGCUCUUAGCAUGCUGUGCCAAUCGGAAGCAGAAGGCCUUGGGUCUCAGGGCCAGACCGCCAGGCAUGAGAAGGACAGUGCGUGCGCUGAUCGAGAUGCCCUCACCCCUCAGGAGAGAUGGGUCCACUACAUGGGCCCUUCAGGCCUCGCGCAGCAGGGCUGGACCCGGGGUUACUCCUCUCAGCAGCCUCCCCAGGCGCCAGCAGGCUUGGCAGCUCCCAAGCCAGUUUACCGGAACCAUGUUUCCUCGGCGGAGCCCAGCUGUGGCCCCAAGGGCUCCCUCGCCCUGCGGACCCUGGGGGAAGGCGCGCUCAAGCUGCCCCCAGCUCGGGAGUGGGCUCUGCCUUCCUCAGGACUCUCGGGUUGUGCGGACGGCCCCAGCUGCAGCAGUGCGGUGCUGAGCAAGGCCGAAGCCGGGCUCCUGCAGUCCCCCAAAGAAGCCUCCGCGAGCCCCGCGGGCUUUUCGCCAUACCGCAAGGCCGCCGAGAAGGGCCGAGGGGCGCACGCAGCCUCCUUCCUGGAGGGGAGCUUCGCAGCCAUGUACAACAGCCAGAAGCCCUUCCCAGAGGCGUGUGGCGGCAACCCCGGCAAGCACGCCUGGGCCAGGCCACCUCCUCCGGCCAGCCUGCUGGCGAGUCCCCAGCCCCUGGUGUUCCAAGACAGGCCGCCCUCCGGCUACCCGCUCGGCUGCUACCCUCUCCCCUCGCACGAGCCGGUGCUGCUGUGCCACCAGCCGGAGAAGGUGCGCCCCCUGUUGGCUCUGCCCGCCUACAAAGGCUUUAGCUACCCAGACAGUGACGAGGCCCAGCUUUUCCCGGCAUCGUUUUUCCCACCGACCGCCCGGGGUUACUACCCCCUGGAGAGCUUCCUCUAUAGGGCCGUCGGCCCCUCUGUAGGCACGCCAUCCAGGGAGCACGAUCCGCAGCACACCCCGCGGGCCAGAACGGACCUGCUGCGCAAGACCCCCGCCCCUGCACACACUCCGCCUGGGAAGGUGUCCCGGUGUGGCUCCUGGCCCGGGGACUGGCGGGAGGGUGGCCCAGUGGCCAAGCCAGCCGGCGAGAGCCCUCAGGAUCAACGCGUGGCACCCCGUCCGCAGUCUUUCCAGGCCCUGCACUCGAUAGAUCAGACGCCCGGCUUCGUCAAUGGGUUCGGGCCAGUGCUGGCGCCCAGCUGUGGGGCUGGCCUCUGCCAAUCAGGACAGGCUGGUGCUAAGGAAGGGCAGUUCCCGUACUCCUCCCCGAAGUCCGCUUUACUCUCUGAAGCCAAGAGGAAGCAUGCCGAGGACCACAGAAUGGGCCUGGGGACUUGCAUCGUUAUUUCUGACAGCCCGGUUGCCCCCCACGACACCUGCUGCAGGGUGGAUCAGCUGAGAGGUGUUCCCAAGGGCUCCGAUGCCUCUCCUGAGAAAACACCCGUGGAAAGAGCGAGGACCUUCCACCCAAGCUCUGAGGAGCACCCUCUGCCUCCUUCCCCUCCGAUGCCGGUUAUCCACAACGUCUUCAGCUUGGCACCUUACCGGGAAUACCUGGAAGGCUCUGCGUCGGUGGCGGCUCCCCUUUCAAAGAGCUGCCGCUCCGAGGAAGCGUCUCUCCAUCACACAGGCGGGAGUGCAGAGAGACGGGGGCUGCCGCAGCCUAGCCCUUCGGGGUCACCAGAAGCAUCCGGGGUGCCUCUCCUGGAGCGGCACGGAACGGCCAGCGAUGGAAUGGCAAGUGUUGGCCAAAGCGGCCUGGGCGGCGACUGCAGAGCGCUGGAGGGCGAGAGCCGAGAUCGCGCCGGCACGUGGCAGAGCUGCAGGGCCAGGACUCUGCCUCCUCCGGCGCCCCCCUUGGGUCGGCUGGCCUCGGCAAGCUGUGCAAACGGCAGGGCUGGGGACAGCACCCUCGAAGACCACGUGCUGGACCUCAGCUUUAAAGUGGAAGGCUUGGCGGAAGCGCCCAGUCUGCAGAUGUCUCCUGGGAAGACUGAGGCCCUCGAAAGGGAGAGUUCGACGAGCACAGGAGAAGAGGCAAGCAGCCAGCCAGCCAAGCCGGAGGAAUCUUCCCCGGAGAGUAACGUACACUUAUCGGAAGUGCCCAUGAAAAGUAGCUCUGGGGGAAGGAGUAAUUUUCACAGCUCUGCAGCAUUCCUCUUCAAAAAAUUCAGGAUCCUGAAAUCGCACGCAGCUGGGGCAAAUGGCGCCGUGCAGCAGCACUCUGCCCCUUCCUUCCAUGUGGGCUCCCAGGCCUCGGCUCUGGGCGACGAUUUCGCUCGGCAGCAGAACUCUGACUGCGUGGCGACUCAGCAAGCCGGCCUGCCCACUCAGCAAAGCCCCCAGGAAGUGGCGACUCAGCAAGCCGGCCCACCGUUUCGGCAAAGCCCCCAGGAAGUGGCGACUCCACCCGAGGCUCCGCUUCUGCAGCAGCCGCAGUUCAACAUCAAGCUGCCAGCCGCUUCCCAAGCCUUGGUUCUCUGCGCACCGGCCGCCUCUCCCAUCCCGGCGGAAAGCCAGGCUGCGCUUCCCCCCAGCAGCGACUCUCCCGGCCAGCAAAAGUCGCCCAGGCAGUGCUUCACCGCCCUGCACAGCUCCGUCUGUGCCAUCAUUUCCUGCUCGGUGUCCACCUCCUCUCCGGAGAAGCUCGCGGAGUGGCUGGAGAAAGCCGAGCUCGACAGGGAGCUCAAAGAGAAGGCCGUGAGUCUGGCCAAGCAGAAGAGCAGGGCCAAGGUGGCCUCCGCAGGCCCGAAGCCGCCCAGGGGCAAACUGAUCUGGCUGGCCUUCAAGGACAUGACGGUCCUGCUCAACAAGCUGCUGUCUCAGCUGGACAAUUUCCUGGUCACCCGCCAGUGCCCCUUCCCUCACGUGGUCCGGGCGGGCGCCAUCUUCAUCCCCAUCCAUGUGGUCAAGGAGAAGCUCUUCCCCAACCUCUCGGGGGCCUCCGUGGACCACGUGCUGCAGGAGCACAAGGUGGAGCUGCGUCCCACCACCCUGUCCGAGGAGAGGCUCCUGCGGGACCUGGAGCUGAAGGGCUGCACGUCGCGGAUGCUGAAGCUGCUGGCCUUGAGGCAGCUGCCGGACAUCUACCCGGACCUCCUGAACCUGCACUGGCACGCGUGUGUCAAGCAGCAGCUCGGGAAAAGAGAGAGAGAGCCGAAUGCUGAAGCCAGCGGAUUCAAAGCCUGCCCCACGGAAGAGGACGGGCAGGUCAGACAGUGCCCAGGGACACAUGCAGGAUGAAAGAGUCUCCAGAUCUCGGACGUCCGGUUUGCACCCAGUGCCUUUCAGCAGUGGCAUGAUAACCUGGAGCACCUGCAAGAACGGAGUGGAUGGAGCCCCUUCCUUCCUUUGGGACGGGGCCCUGGCAAGGGACCGCAGCUUAGAGGGUGGGCAGCUGUGUGGAUUGCAGAAGCUCCCAAAUUCAGGCUCUGGCAUCUCCUGCUAAAGCAGGUCCAAGUUCACAGGCGGGUCCGCAUGCCUCCAAAUGAUGCCGCCAGAGAGAUGCUGAGCGACACCAGGCAGCGCUUCAGCGGCAGGUGGCUCGAAGGCAGCAGACGCCAGCAGGUGUUUUCGGGGAGCGAGGACAGAGUCCCUCGGCCAGGACGUCUGAGGGGAGUGUGAGCGAGGCGAGGCAGGUGCACUCAACCUGCAGGGUGAGGCCGCCGCUCGCUCUCUGAGGAGGACACGCCUCCGGGAGGCUGCGCUGGGAGGCCAAAGACUCGGCACGCUGCUCCCUCCGUGCAUCCAAAGGGCUUCCCGGGACUCCUCGGGGCGCGCUAGCCAAUAGGGCUGCCAGGAAGCCCGAAUCCGUGGCCCACGUCCAGUUCCAGAAGGCUCCUGAGGACAUACAGGGCCUCCGGUGCGCCUGGCCAAGGGGAAGAAGCAGCGGGAAGAGCCGGCGCCCGCUUCCAGAGGCCUGCUCACCCAGUGGCCGGGGGCUGUGAGGGCUGCGGCUUUGCCUCGAGUCCUGGCCCGCCCUCCCCAGCGUUGAUGGCGCCCAUGCCAUGAAAGGCACGUUCCUGGAAUCCACUGUUACAAGAUGCUUCCGCGCUCUCCCAGCUGACGCCUCGUGGCUGCGGUCGGACUCGGUGGUUGUGGGCCAGAUGGUGUGCUUUAGAACCCGCCCCUGUGGGGCCAGCCGGCUGUGAGAAGGGGGGCUUGGGCAAAGUGUCCUUUGGGGGCAGGCGCCCUGCAUUUCCGUGCCUGUGUGAGUGUGAUCGUGGGGCUGCAGGAAGCACAGCUGGGCUCUCUGGCCACGCUCUUGAUUCCCCACCCUGCGCCAGGACAAGGCCGGGCCCAGGGCACUGUGGGUCCGGGCAGGGGUGGCGAUCUUGCUCCGCACAGGCCAGAAAAUGAGCCUCGGGCUCCGGAUCAGCCUCUUCCCGCCGGAGCACCAGCCCCGUGCGCACGAGGGGCAGCCCUGCAGAGGUGGCCUCGCACCCAGGCGAGCGGCACGUGCAGGAUCCGUCUCGAGACAGGCUGGCUUGCUCGUGGACGAUAGGCGUUGUCCAUCCGUUACCGCGGCCUCUGUGUGUGCUUAUCUACACUCGCUCUGCGCGGUGAGCUCUAAACUCCUGACACAUAAUUCAAAACUGACAGCCGGUGGCCCUUUGCCAGAGAGGUCCCCCUUCCAUAUCCUUUGAAAUGCCGGUCCAUGCUGCCCCCCCCCCCCCACAGUUCCCGGUGUGGCGUGAGAAAUUUGCAUGCGUGGCAAAGAUAAGGACGGAGUCCAGUUGUGCCUUCCGGGAGGAGGUGUAGCUUAUCGGAUUUCCUGCAAAUAAGAAUCCCAAAGGUUUCUGAUACUGUGCCUUCUCUCUCUCUGUUUUUGGUUCUCUGUGGAUCCUCUCAUGCCAAAGCCAUCCGCAUAAAUUUGCGGGUAUAGGUCAGCGGCCAAUAUGGGUCACCUCGCUUUCUGAGUUGCACCUCGGCUGGGAACUCACCAAAUGCUCCUUCAGGAAGUAGAGAAUCCCUGCACAGAGAAAGCUAACAUGCCGGGGAGAAGCAGUCUAGGCUAGUGUGCCCCCUGACCCGCCAGCUUUCUCUGUGCAAGGAUUUUUCUUUAUUUUGUAUUUAUUUUGCUAUCGUGGAUCGUUCAUUAUUGUCAGGUCCCACCUGCCAUCUGAAGAGAUAGCCGGAAAACUGUCUUUGCCAGUUCAUCUUCUCUUUGUGAGAACAACACCUGUGUUUUAAUACCCAUGUGGACAGCUGGAAGCUUUUGUUUCAGAACACAGCAACUUUCGAGUGUAUAUUAAAAUAAGAAAAGUUUGAAGGGCUGUGUUGCUGCCAUGAUAUUGGUGGGAACAUGGCUUUGGUACUUAAAAUGGCUGAUUUUUUUGUGGCUUAAACUACCACAUUUUAGAAAUGUGACAUGUUUACCUUUAUAAGGAGUUUCUGCUGCCUUCAGAUUGUUUUAAAGGCUUCACACACGGAACGUUAUUUUUGUGAUGUUUUAAGCUUGCUUCUGGGAUCAUUCAUGCGCUUAAAUCUCAUCACCAUUUAGAACAGCGUUGCCCAACUACGAGCCCCCCAGAUGUGCUGAGCCGCAACACAUCUGGAGAGUCUCAGCUUGGGAAAGGCUAAUGUUAGAUCUGAGUAGAUUUGUUCUUAAAAAAAAAAUAAAAUAGAAGGGCACAUGUGAACACAUAACAUGCUGGAAAGCACAUAGUGUGCCUGCCUUGCAAGACGCAGGAAGAAAAAUAUUUCUGCUGGUAACAAAGCUAUCGCUGGCGACUUUAGUGUUCUGGGAAACGGAAAGGGGACGCAUGCAUUUCUCCAAGGCCAAGGUGAGCCGGGGAAAGAGCAGAGCUUUGGUCUGUAGAAAAGCCCAGGCUGAAAUUUUGGAGUGAGCCACCAUUGUCCAGCUGGACUAUGUCCCUGGGGAAGGGUGAUGGCGUCGGGUGGGCUAGGUCUGGAGAAGAGCAAGCCCUGCUCACCGCACGUGGCUUUCAUGGGGCUCUAGGCAGGUUGCCAGAGGAGGAUGCUGUGGAAAUAACACAUUAGCGCAUGGGAAGGUUUUUACCUUAAGCGAAUCCAUGCACUCAUGUGGCCCCUCUGGAGGCAGCAACAUCUGGAUUUUCUGCCAGUUGUUUCUUCUGCCACAUGUAAGAUGCAGAUUGACUGGGAAAGGGGCGCCCAGAACGUGGCACUCUUUUGCCAGGCAAAAACGAAUAAAUAAAAUCAGUACUGUUCCGCCCUUUUGAAACAAGUGCUUAAUAUUGUACAUUUUGUAUAAAUGUUCCAGUGGGACCCUAUUUGCAUUUUUAUUUAAUUUUUUUGUAAGGAUACAAUUUCUAAGAGGUGCUUCAAGAUUAAAAUGUCUGUUUUGAAA